rnacentral:rRNA from 1 species
GAUGAACGCUAGCGGCAGGCUUAAUACAUGCAAGUCGAGGGGCAGCGCAGUGUAGCAAUACAUGGGCGGCGACCGGCAAACGGGUGCGGAACACGUACGCAACCUUCCUUUAAGUGGAGAAUAGCCCAGGGAAACUUGGAUUAAUACUUCGUAACAUUAUGAGAUGGCAUCAUCUUAUAAUUAUAGCUCCGGCGCUUAAAGCUGGGCGUGCGUCUGAUUAGGUAGUUGGCGGGGUAACGGCCCACCAAGCCUGCGAUCAGUAACUGGUGUGGGCGCACGACCAGUCACACGGGCACUGAGACACGGGCCCGACUCCUACGGGACGCAGCAGUAAGGAAUAUUGGUCAAUGGACGCAAGUCUGAACCAGCCAUGCCGCGUGGAGGAUGAAGGUCCUCUGGAUUGUAAACUUCUUUUAUUUGGGAAGAAACCCGGGAUUUCUAUUCCGGUUGACGGUACCAGAUGAAUAAGCACCGGCUAACUACGUGCCAGCAGCCGCCGUAA